rnacentral:rRNA from 1 species
ACGCUGGCGGCAGGCCUAACACAUGCAAGUCGAGCGGUAGAGAGAAGCUUGCUUCUCUUGAGAGCGGCGGACGGGUGAGUAAUGCCUAGGAAUCUGCCUGGUAGUGGGGGAUAACGUUCGGAAACGGACGCUAAUACCGCAUACGUCCUACGGGAGAAAGCAGGGGACCUUCGGGCCUUGCGCUAUCAGAUGAGCCUAGGUCGGAUUAGCUAGUUGGUGAGGUAAUGGCUCACCAAGGCGACGAUCCGUAACUGGUCUGAGAGGAUGAUCAGUCACACUGGAACUGAGACACGGUCCAGACUCCUACGGGAGGCAGCAGUGGGGAAUAUUGGACAAUGGGCGAAAGCCUGAUCCAGCCAUGCCGCGUGUGUGAAGAAGGUCUUCGGAUUGUAAAGCACUUUAAGUUGGGAGGAAGGGCAGUUACCUAAUACGUGAUUGUUUUGACGUUACCGACAGAAUAAGCACCGGCUAACUCUGUGCCAAGCAGCCGCGGUAAUACAGAGGGUGCAAGCGUUAAUCGGAAUUACUGGGCGUAAAGCGCGCGUAGGUGGUUAGUUAAGUUGGAUGUGAAAUCCCCGGGCUCAACCUGGGAACUGCAUUCAAAACUGACUGACUAGAGUAUGGUAGAGGGUGGUGGAAUUUCCUGUGUAGCGGUGAAAUGCGUAGAUAUAGGAAGGAACACCAGUGGCGAAGGCGACCACCUGGACUGAUACUGACACUGAGGUGCGAAAGCGAGGGGAGCAAAC